rnacentral:rRNA from 1 species
GCAAGUCGAACGCAGUAGCAAUACUGAGUGGCAGACGGGUGAGUAACAUGUGGGAAUCUGCCUUGUGGUUCAGGACAACAUUGGGAAACCGAUGCUAAUACUGGAUAAGCCCUUACGGGGAAAGUUUUAAUGCCAUAAGAUGAGCCCGCAUUUGAUUAGUUAGUUGGUGAGGUAAUGGCUCACCAAGACAAUGAUCAAUAGCUGAUCUGAGAGGAUGAUCAGCCACACUGGGACUGAGACACGGCCCAGACUCCUACGGGAGGCAGCAGUGGGGAAUCUUGCACAAUGGAGGAAACUCUGAUGCAGCGAUGCCGCGUGAGUGAAGAAGGCCUUUGGGUUGUAAAGCUCUUUUGUAGGGGAAGAUAAUGACUGUACCCUAAGAAUAAGGUCCGGCUAACUUCGUGCCAGCAGCCGCGGUAAUACGAAGGGACCUAGCGUAGUUCGGAAUUACUGGGCGUAAAGCGCGCGUAGGCCGUUGAGUUAGUUAAUUGUGAAAUCCCAAAGCUUAACUUUGGAACUGCAAUUAAAACUGCUCGACUAGAGUUUGAUAGAGGAAAGCGGAAUACAUAGUGUAGAGGUGAAAUUCGUAGAUAUUAUGUAGAACACCAGUUGCGAAGGCGGCUUUCUGGAUCAACACUGACGCUGAGGCGCGAAAGUAUGGGUAGCAAAGAGGAUUAGAUACCCUCGUAGUCCAUACCAUAAACGAUGAUUGCUAGAUGUUGGAAAUUUAUUUUCAGUAUCGCAGCUAACGCAUUAAGCAAUCCGCCUGGGGAGUACGACCGCAAGGUUAAAACUCAAAUGAAUUGACGGGGACCCGCACAAGCGGUGGAGCAUGUGGUUUAAUUCGAAGAUACGCGCAGAACCUUACCAACCCUUGACAUGUCUGUCGCGAGUUUAGGAAACUAGACUUUUCGGUUCGGCCGGACAGAAACACGGUGCUGCAUGGCUGUCGUCAGCU